UACGUAGGUGGCAAGCGUUGUCCGGAAUUAUUGGGCGUAAAGCGCGCGCAGGCGGUCCUUUAAGUCUGAUGUGAAAGCCCUCGGCUCAACCGAGGAGGGUCAUUGGAAACUGGAGGACUUGAGUGCAGAAGAGGAAAGUGGAAUUCCAAGUGUAGCGGUGAAAUGCGUAGAUAUCUGGAGGAACACCGGUGGCGAAGGCGGCAUCCUGGACCGACACUGACGCUGAGGCGCGAAAGCUAGGGUAGCAAACGGG
rnacentral:rRNA from 1 species